GUGGCCGUAGCUCAGUCGGUAGAGCAUCGGAUUGUGGCUCCGAAGGUCGCGGGUUCGAGUCCCGUCGGUCACC
rnacentral:tRNA from 1 species